CCCGACUACAUGAAGCUGGAAUCGCUAGUAAUCGCGAAUCAGAAUGUCGCGGUGAAUACGUUCCCGGGUCUUGUACACACCGCCCGUCACACCAUGGGAGUCGGAUAUGCCCGAAGCCGGUGACCUAACCGCAAGGAAGGAGCCGUCGAAGGUGGAGCCGAUGACUGGGGUGAAGUCGUAACAAGGUAGC
rnacentral:rRNA from 1 species